GCCUUCGUGGUGUAGUGGUCAGCACGCUCGACGCGUAACCUAGAGGUCUAUGGUUCGAUUCCCGGCGAAGGCG
rnacentral:tRNA from 1 species